rnacentral:rRNA from 1 species
AAGACGACUCUCGGCAACGGAUAUCUCGGCUCUCGCAUCGAUGAAGAACGUAGCGAAAUGCGAUACUUGGUGUGAAUUGCAGAAUCCCGUGAACCAUCGAGUCUUUGAACGCAAGUUGCGCCCGAAGCCAUUCGGUUGAGGGCACGUCUGCCUGGGUGUCACGCA